CUGAUGACGGAUUAGUGGUCUUCAUUUUUUUGCUGAAAGAAAGUGGUCACUUGCAGCCUCAAAAUGGCCAGCCAGCAAGGCAAACGAACCUCGUCGCAGUCGGAGGAAGGCACCGACGCCCCUUCGCAGCCGGAGGCUAAGAGGGUUUUCAAGGUGAAGCCGCUCCCUCCUUCCAAAGUGCCAAGGAAGACGCACCGACCGAAAGUGCACAGGUGCGAUUAUGCUCGCUACGGCAAGGAGAACAGUUUUAUCUGUUGGAAGAGGCUGAGCCUUUCGGAACAAGUCAUCAUAUGUAAUUGUGGUCUACGGUUUUGCCGGCUCCACAAAUAUCCGGAGCAGCAUGAUUGUGACCGCGAUUACAAGGCGGAAGCUCGAGAGCGUUUGGCAGAGGAGAUGCCAAAAAUUGGAGACGACCACGGCCUGAAGAAAAUGUAAUAUUUUUCUUCCUUGAAUUUCAACAUUCAAUAAACAAUUAUUUUUGU